AAGUCGAACGAGAAAGACAUCUUCGGAUGUUGAGUACAGUGGCAAACGGGUGAGUAACGCGUGGGAAACCUGCCCUUCGGUCGGGGACAACACUUCUAACGAGGUGCUAAUACCGGAUGUUGUCACGGCAUCGCAUGGUGUUGUGAUGAAAGGCGGCCUCUGCUUGCAAGCUGUCGCCGAAGGAUGGUCCCGCGUCCCAUUAGUUAGUUGGUGAGGUAAUGGCUCACCAAGGCAGUGAUGGGUAGCCGGCCUUAGCGGGUGACCGGCCACACUGGGACUGAGAUACGGCCCAGACUCCUACGGGAGGCAGCAGUCGAGAGGCUUCCACAAUGGGGGAAACCCUGAUGGAGCGACGCCGCGUGGGUGAUGAAGGUCUUCGGAUCGUAAAGCCCUUUCGACAGGGACGAACGGCACGGGGGUUAAUAGCUCCCGAGCAAAGACGGUACCUGUAUAAGAAGCUCCGGCUAACUCCGUGCCAGCAGCCGCGGUAAGACGGAGGGAGCAAGCGUUGUUCGGAUUUACUGGGCGUAAAGGGCGUCUAGGCGGACAUGCAAGUCAGAUGUGAAAUCCAUCGGCUCAACCGGUGAACUGCAUUUGAUACUGCUUGUCUUGAGUACGGGAGAGGAGAGCGGAAUUCCUGGUGUAGCGGUGAAAUGCGUAGAUAUCAGGAAGAACAUCGGUGGCGAAGGCGGCUCUCUGGACCGAUACUGACGCUAAAGCGCGAAAGUGUGGGGAGCGAACAGGAUUAGAUACCCUGGUAGUCCACACUGUAAACGAUGGAUACUAGAUGUCUCGGGUUCGAGACAUCUGGGGCCCGAGGUAUUAAACACUAAGUAUACUCGCCUCGGUGAGGUACUGGUCGUAAGAGUUGAUACUCAUAAGGAAUAGUCGGGGACCAGCACAACAAGGUGGAGCAUCAUGUUUAAUUAGUCGACACGAGGAGAACAUUAUCGGGGUUUUACGAGUGCCUGACAAGAGUCGAGAAAGGUCCUUCUUCGUAGAGAGCACAUCAUUAGCUGAUGCAUGUCGUAGUCUCGUUUCGUUAGAUAUUGGUUUAAUUCAGUGCAAACGAAGCGCGACCAACUAUUAUCAGUUACCAUCGUUGAUUCACGGGAACUAUUCGGAGAAUGCCGCUGAUAAUCCGGAGGAAGAUGGUGAUGACGUCAUGUCAUCAUGACCCCUAUAUCUCGCGCUGCACACACGUUACAAUGGCUGUGACACAAGGGGAGACAUAUCCCCGAAGUUGAACCAAAUCCCAAAAAACCAGUCUCAGUUCGGAUUGUAGUCUGCAA
rnacentral:rRNA from 1 species